CAGCAGAAUUUGUAUUCAGCAGUGACAGAAUUAAUUUUGGAAGGGGAUCAACCGCCCUUGUCUGAGGACUCAAGAGCAUUACAGGAGCUGGC
rnacentral:lncRNA from 1 species